rnacentral:rRNA from 1 species
UACGUAGGUGGCAAGCGUUGUUCGGAAUUAUUGGGCGUAAAGCGCGCGCAGGCGGUCCUUUAAGUCUGAUGUGAAAGCCCACGGCUCAACCGUGGAGGGUCAUUGGAAACUGGGGGACUUGAGUACAGAAGAGAAGAGUGGAAUUCCACGUGUAGCGGUGAAAUGCGUAGAGAUGUGGAGGAACACCAGUGGCGAAGGCGACUCUUUGGUCUGUAACUGACGCUGAGGCGCGAAAGCGUGGGGAGCAAACAGG